ACACUGGCAGCUCUAGUGGUAGCUGUUUUUAUUGGGCCUAAAGCGUUCGUCGCCGGUUUGAUAAGUUGCUGGUGAAAUCCUGUAGGUUAACUGUCGAAUUUGCUGUUGAUAUUGUUUAACUUGUGGUCGGGAGAGGUUAGCGUUACUCCCAGGGCGGGGGUGAAAUUAGGUAAUCUUGGGAGGACCACCUGUGGCGCAGGCGGCUAACUGGAACGAACCUGACGGUGAGGGACGAAAGCUAGGGGCGCGAACCGGAUUAGAUACCCGGGUAGUCCUAGCCGUAAACGAUGCGGACUUGGUGUUGGGAUGGCUUUGAGCCGCUCCGGUGCCGAAGGGAAGCUGUUAAGUCCGCCGCCUGGGAAGUACGGUCGCAAGACUGAAACUCAAAUGAAUUGACGGGG
rnacentral:rRNA from 1 species